rnacentral:misc_RNA from 1 species
AUAAAGUUGUCAAAAAAAUAGCUACAUUUAGUUUGCUGCCAAAUUUUGGUAACUAUAUAAGGGGCCUGUUCACUUUGAUGCCAAAAAAAACCUUACCAAAUUUUGGCAUUCCAAAAUUUUGGCAUAGUUGCCAAAAUUUUGACAACUUGCCAAAAUUUUGGUAGGAUUUCUUAUAUAGUUACAAAAAUUUGGCAGCAAACUAAAUGUAGCCACUUUUUGACAACUUUACC